AGCUCCUCGCGGACCUCCGCGGGGAGGGGUGCCCCGAAACCCGCGCCGUGUGGUGGGCCUCCUGCCAGGUGCGCCCCGCGGCAGACAUGGUGCCAGGGGCCAAGGAGUAGCUGUCAAUUACUACCACCAGUGAUCACCUUGGUACUGAGGCUGCAUCUUGAAGAUGAAGACCAGCCCCGCUCACCUGUUCUGAGCCUCAGAACAGAACUGCCUCUCCAGCUGUCUUUGCUAAAGUGCCUUGGCUCAAGAGCAGGCACCUCCCAGAUCCCACUGACAUGUGACACUUGGGAUUUGUGGGACUGCAGAGUGAGGUGUGGGGACAGGACUUAGGCUGGCUGUUUGUUGGCAAUGCGUGGCCCAUAGGUAAUUUAAAAAUUUGCUAGUUGCCACAUUUACAAAAUAAAAAUAAACAAGUUACAUUGA